rnacentral:misc_RNA from 1 species
UACGGGGCGCAGCGAUGAAAUUUUGGACAAUGGGGAAACCCUGAUCCAGCCAUCCCGCGUGUGCGAUGAAGGCCUUCGGGUUGUAAAGCACUUUUGGCAGGAAAGAAACAGCACAGGAUAAUGCAAUGCAACUGACGGUACCUGCAGAAUAAGCACCAAAGCUAACUACGUGCAGCAGCCGCGGUACGUAGGGUGCAAGCGUUAAUCGGAAUUACUGGGCGUAAAGCGUGCGCAGGCGGUUCGGAAAGAAGAUGUGAAAUCCCAGAGCUUACUUUGGAACUGCAUUUUUAACUACCGAGCGAGUGUGCUCAGAGGGAGGUGGAAUUCCGCGUGUAGCAGUGAAAUGCGUAGAUAUGCGGAGGAACACCGAUGGCGAAGGCAGCCUCCUGGGAUGGCACUGACGCUCAUGCACGAAAGCGUGGGGCAAACAGGAUUAGAUACCCGGGUAG